CUGGAAGUCAGUAACGGUUGAGCAAUGACAAACACACCUAUAAGGACACAGGUUGGACAGGUUAUUCAGGAGAACACCAGGAGCGACAAGACAGAGGACAUGCAAGAUCAUUAUUGUCUUAGAUUCCAAGUCGCAACUGAGAAGAGAAUUGCUUGACCAACAUAAGACUAAGAUUGAACCAGAAAUUCAUUUCCAUUAUAUUAAACUCCUAUGAUUUCAGCAUCUAUUGUCACUGCAGCAGAGCUCUGCCUAUUUAGCCUAUUAGAAAUUCUGAAGGCAGUCCCAGGCCUGGGUGGGUCUCUGUUGACCUAAGCCAAUUGUCACGUUCCAUGCCAUGGCCUCCUUCAAGGCUGUCAUGCCAUCUUGCUUGGCAUGCUGGACAGAGCUCUGUCUACUUUCUGCUUGACAAAUUGUGGAUACGUGAGCCCGGAAACUGCUACAGGAAGCCAAACUUGGAAUAAAGUGCAGAGGGGUGGUAGACAGAGGAAAUGAAAUUGGAUUCUUGAUGACAUCACUGAGUCCCUGAAGCAAACAAACCCCAUCAACUAUCCUAUCCCUGUUCUUCAAGACACACAAGCCAAUACGAUAUUUUAUUGUUUAAGACAGCUAAAUAGAAUUUUCCAUUGCUUGAAACUUAAUAGUAAAUAAAUAUGAAUUACAA